AACAGGGAGCUUGCUCUGCUGACGACCGGCGCACGGGUGCGUAACGCGUAUGCAACCUACCUUCUACAGGGGGAUAGUCAAUAGAAAUGUUGAAUAAUACCCCAUACGAUCUUUGAGUGGCAUUACUUAAAGAGGAAAGCUUCGGCGGUAGAAGAUGGGCAUGCGUCCUAUUAGUUAGUUGGUGAGGUAACGGCUCACCAAGACUACGAUAGGUAGGGGCCCUGAGAGGGGGAUCCCCCACACUGGUACUGAGACACGGACCAGACUCCUACGGGAGGCAGCAGUGAGGAAUAUUGGACAAUGGAGGCAACUCUGAUCCAGCCAUGCCGCGUGCAGGAAGACUGCCCUAUGGGUUGUAAACUGCUUUUAUACAGGAAGAAACCUACUUACGUGUAAGUAGCUGACGGUACUGUAAGAAUAAGGAUCGGCUAACUCCGUGC
rnacentral:rRNA from 1 species